GGGCAGCAGGUGCAAGCAGCAGUAGCAGCAGUAGUAUUGAGGGCAGCAGUAGUAGGAGCAGUAGUAGUGAGGGCAGCAGUAGCAGCAGUAGUAGUGAGGGCAGCAGUAGUAUUGAGGGCAGCAGUAGCAGCAGUAGUAGUGAGGGCAGCAGUAGCAGGGGCAGCAGUAGUAGUGAGGGCAGCAGUAGUAUUGAGGGCAGCAGUAGCAGCAGUAGUAGUGAGGGCAGCAGUAGCAGGGGCAGCAGUAGUAGUGAGGGCAGCAGUAGUAGUGAGGGAAGCAGUAGCAGGGGCAGCAGUAGUAGUGAGGGCAGCAGUAGUAGUGAGGGAAGCAGUAGCAGGGGCAGUAGUAGUAGUGAGGGC
ensembl:lncRNA